rnacentral:rRNA from 1 species
GAUGAACGCUGGCGGCGUGCCUAAUACAUGCAAGUCGAGCGAACGGACGAUACGCUUGCUGUUCUGAUGUUAGCGGCGGACGGGUGAGUAACACGUGGAUAACCUACCUAUAAUACUGGGAUAACUUCGGGAAACCGGAGCUAAUACCAGAUAAUAUUUUGAACCGCAUGGGGCAAAAGUGAAAGACGGUGUUGCGGUCACUUAUAGAUGGAUCCGCGCUGCAUUAGCUAGUUGGUAAGGUAACGGCCUACCAAGGCAACGAUGCAUAGCCGACCGGAGAGAGGGGUCGCCCACAUUGGAGCGUGGACGCGGACCUGAGUACUGCGGGACGCAGCAGUCGCGAACGUUACGCAGUGGGCGGGAGCCUGGCGGAGCGGCGGGACGUGUGUGACGGCGACCUUCGGAUCGUGAUACUCUGUUACUAGUGGAAAACAUCUGUGUACGUAGCUGUAGACAUCUUGACGGUACCUAAUCAGAAAGCCCCGGCUAACUACGUG